AUUGAACGCUGGCGGCAGGCUUAACACAUGCAAGUCGAGCGGGGUGAUGGUGCUUGCACUAUCACUUAGCGGCGGACGGGUGAGUAAUGCUUAGGAAUCUGCCUAUUAGUGGGGGACAACAUCUCGAAAGGGAUGCUAAUACCGCAUACGUCCUACGGGAGAAAGCAGGGGAUCACUUGUGACCUUGCGCUAAUAGAUGAGCCUAAGUCGGAUUAGCUAGUUGGUGGGGUAAAGGCCUACCAAGGCGACGAUCUGUAGCGGGUCUGAGAGGAUGAUCCGCCACACUGGGACUGAGACACGGCCCAGACUCCUACGGGAGGCAGCAGUGGGGAAUAUUGGACAAUGGGGGGAACCCUGAUCCAGCCAUGCCGCGUGUGUGAAGAAGGCCUUAUGGUUGUAAAGCACUUUAAGCGAGGAGGAGGCUCUUUUGGUUAAUACCCAGAAUGAGUGGACGUUACUCGCAGAAUGAGCACCGGCUAACUCUGUGCCAGCCGCCGCCGCAG
rnacentral:rRNA from 1 species